GAUGAACGCUGGCGGCGUGCUUAAUACAUGCAAGUCGAGCGAAGCACUUUAACGGAAUUCUUCGGAAGGAAGGUAAAGUGACUGAGCGGGCGACGGGUGAGGUAACGCGUGGGUAACCUGCCUUAUACAGGGGGAUAACAGUUAGAAAUGGCUGCUAAUACCGCAUAAGCGCACAGGACCGCAUGGUCUGGUGUGAAAAACUCCGGUGGUAUAAGAUGGACCCGCGUCUGAUUAGCUGGUUGGUGGGGUAACGGCCCACCAAGGCGACGAUCAGUAGCCGGCCUGAGAGGGUGAACGGCCACAUUGGGACUGAGACACGGCCCAG
rnacentral:rRNA from 1 species